UACGUAGGGUGCGAGCGUUGUCCGGAAUUAUUGGGCGUAAAGGGCUCGUAGGCGGUUUGUCGCGUCGGGAGUGAAAACACCGGGCUUAACUCGGUGCUUGCUUUCGAUACGGGCAGACUUGAGGCAUGCAGGGGAGAACGGAAUUCCUGGUGUAGCGGUGAAAUGCGUAGAUAUCUGGAGGAAUACCGGUGGCGAAGGCGGCAUCCUGGACCGGCAUUGACGCUGAACAGCGAAAGCUAGGGGAGCAAACGGG
rnacentral:rRNA from 1 species